AUGCCUUAAAUUUAUGAGUAAGGAAAAUAGCAAUUGCAGGUGACAUCCCCGUCCUCACUGCUAAUGUGAGACCAAUGUUUGAGUCCCCGCUAAGGUGCCCCACCUU
rnacentral:snRNA from 1 species